rnacentral:rRNA from 1 species
UACGAAGGGGGCUAGCGUUGCUCGGAAUUACUGGGCGUAAAGGGAGCGUAGGCGGGUCGUCAAGUCGGGGGUGAAAUCCUGAGGCUCAACCUCAGAACUGCCUUCGAUACUGGAGAUCUUGAGUCCGGGAGAGGUUAGUGGAACUGCGAGUGUAGAGGUGAAAUUCGUAGAUAUUCGCAAGAACACCAGUGGCGAAGGCGGCUAACUGGCCCGGUACUGACGCUG